AGAGGGUGCGAGCGUUAAUCGGAAUUACUGGGCGUAAAGGGCGCGUAGGUGGUGACCGAAGUCUGCUGUGAAAUACCCGGGCUUAACCUGGGAUGGUCAGCAGAAACCUGGUGACUAGAGUCGAUAAGAGGGUAGAGGAAUUUCCGGUGUAGCGGUGAAAUGCGUAGAUAUCGGAAGGAACAUCAGUGGCGAAGGCGUCUACCUGGCAGAAGACUGACACUGAGGCGCGAAAGCGUGGGGAGCGAACAGGGAUUAGAUACCCUGGUAGUCCACGCCGUAAACGAUGAGAACUAGCUGUUUGUCGUAUAGAAACGAUAAGUGGCGCAGCUAACGCGUUAAGUUCUCCGCCUGGGGAGUACGGCCGCAAGGCUA
rnacentral:rRNA from 1 species